UCUGCGUCCUGAUCUUGGAACUGAGCUGGAGAGAGAUGCGGGGCGUGGAAAAGGCCAGGGCAGCCGUCCUCUCCCGACUGGCUUCUGAGUGCGGCUGAGACCGCUGACACUGGUGUCUGGCGUUGCUCCUGAAAUUCUGACUUUGGAAAUCCACCGCACGCCUUUGUGCUUAGAGCAGCGAGCCUGCUUCUGGGUCAGCCUCUGAGCCAGUGUGCUUUACUGUAAGCGUUAGAAACAUGACUUCUAACAUUACAGUUAAAGGAGGAAUGAUAUAUUUCAGUGAAGAAUCCCAGCUCAACGGGGCUCUUCUGAGAACUGCAGAAAACAGCUCUGGACUCCUCCCUCGGAGCACCCGCCCAGCUUCCCUCUCCUGGCGCAAAACCUUGAUGCAAGCGGCGUGUGCCACAGUCCCAGGGUCCUCUGGCUCGUUUGUAAAUCUGUCAGCUGAGGCUACCAACAAGUUCAGAACAAGUGCUGAACGUGGGGGACAGCGCGGCCACAGACACCCAGUGAGGGUGAGUCUUGUCUGGCAGAGAAGGGCGAGGCUGGGACGUGGCAGCCGGACUCAGCUUGACCACAAAUCUCUGCCCAGUGAAGGCCGCCAUGCCACUGAAUCCUGGGAAGAAAGCAACACAAACGCCUAAACUGGAAGGAGUAAAGGUGCCCUGCAAGGUAGGUCAAGGCUUCAACGGGUAAAUCUAGGUGGAAAUGGAUCCCAACCAUAGCACGGACCUCACAGGGCAGCAUGUGGGGUUCAGCCCAGCCUCCACCGAUGGGCAGGGACAUGGGGCUCCGGCAGCCCCGGGGCAGAGGAGAAAUGCAGCCAGCCCAGGGCCACGUGCUGGCUGAGCCUGAGAGCACCACGGGGACAGCCUCAGCCAGGCACUGCAGCUUCCGGCAGAGAAGCCCACCGGCACAGGUGGUAAAAAUAAAGACUGAAGAACCAGAAAGAGAAAGUAUUAACAAAAAUGCCAGUGAUCAACAAAGUGGAAAAAUUGAAUUUGUGUUCAAAGUAAUGAUAUUAAAAGGCAUUUGAAAAAUGCAACUGUCAAAAAUAAGUUUAUAAAAUAAAGGACAUAAUAGAAAA